GGAGAGACAUAGCUCAGUGGUAGAACUCCUGUUUUGCAUGUAGAGGGUCCUAGGUUCAAUCCCUGGCAUCUUCA